rnacentral:rRNA from 1 species
GUUAGGAAUAUUGGACAAUGGGGGGAACCCUGAUCCAGCCAUGCCGCGUGUGUGAAGAAGGCCUUUUGGUUGUAAAGCACUUUAAGCGAGGAGGAGGCUACCGAGAUUAAUACUCUUGGAUAGUGGACGUUACUCGCAGAAUAAGCACCGGCUAACUCUGUGCCAGCAGCCGCGGUAAUACAGAGGGUGCAAGCGUUAAUCGGAUUUACUGGGCGUAAAGCGCGCGUAGGUGGCCAAUUAAGUCAAAUGUGAAAUCCCCGAGCUUAACUUGGGAAUUGCAUUCGAUACUGGUUGGCUAGAGUAUGGGAGAGGAUGGUAGAAUUCCAGGUGUAGCGGUGAAAUGCGUAGAGAUCUGGAGGAAUACCGAUGGCGAAGGCAGCCAUCUGGCCUAAUACUGACACUGAGGUGCGAAAGCAUGGGGAGCAAACAGGAUUAGAUACCCCAGUAGUCC